rnacentral:rRNA from 1 species
GACGUAGGGGGCGAGCGUUGUCCGGAUUCAUUGGGCGUAAAGCGCGCGCAGGCGGCCCGGUAAGUCGGAUGUGAAAUCCCACGGCUCAACCGUGGAACUGCAUUCGAUACUGUCGGGCUAGAGGCAGGUAGGGGAGAUCGGAAUUCCUGGUGUAGCGGUGAAAUGCGCAGAUAUCAGGAGGAACACCGGUGGCGAAGGCGGAUCUCUGGGCCUUACCUGACGCUGAGGCGCGAAAGCUAGGGGAGCAAACAGG